rnacentral:rRNA from 1 species
AUAUUAAAGUUGUUGCAGUUAAAAAGCUCGUAGUUGAAUUUCGGGAUCAAUAUAUCGGUCGUGCCCCUGUACGUACUGGUAUCAUUGGUUUCUCCUUUCUGACGAACAAUGAUGUCAUUAAUUUGGUGUUAUAGGGAGUUAGGACUGUUACUUUGAAAAAAUUAGAGUGUUUAAAGCAGGCAUUAGCUUGAAUACAUUAGCAUGGAAUAAUGAAAUAGGACGUUUGAUUCUAUUUUGUUGGUUUCUAGGAUCGACGUAAUGAUUAAUAGGGAUAGUUGGGGGCAUUAGUAUUCAAUUGUCAGAGGUGAAAUUCUUGGAUUUAUUGAAGACUAACUACUGCGAAAGCAUUUGCCAAGGAUGUUUUCAUUAAUCA